rnacentral:rRNA from 1 species
UAGGGAAUCUUGCGCAAUGGGGGCAACCCUGACGCAGCGAUACCGUGUGAGGGAGGAAGGUCUUCGGAUUGUAAACCUCUGUCAAAAGGGAAAAACGGCGUAGCGGUUAAUAACCGUUACGAUUGAUGGUACCUUUAAAGGAAGCACCGGCUAACUCCGUGCCAGCAGCCGCGGUAAUACGGAGGGUGCGAGCGUUGUUCGGAUUUAUUGGGCGUAAAGCGCGCGCAGGCGGAAAGAUAAGUCAGAUGUGAAAUCUCGGGGCCUAACUCCGAAAGUGCGUCUGAAACUGUUUUUCUAGAAUGCCGGAGGGGGAUGGGGAAUUUCUCAUGUAGGGGUAAAAUCCGUAGAGAUGAGAAGGAACACCCGUGGCGAAGGCGCCAUCCUGGACGGUGAUUGACGCUGAGGCGCGAAGGCGUGGGGAUCAAACA